CUGACUAGUUCGCAAUUGGAGGAUUUAAUAGCUGAAACAGAUUGCCUUUUUGAGAAUAAAAAUCCUGCCUCAGCCAAAGAGUCCCCAGAAAAAUACUCGACGCCUCCAAAGAGCGGGUUUUCUUCCGAAGUUUCCAGUCAGCAUCUAGAAUCGGCGCAAAGGCUCUCGGACAGUCUAUUAUUGAACAUCUCAUUCACGCCGCCCGAACCAGCCUCUCCUGGCUUACUGACUCAGAUACUCGGGGGAUCACCGCCGUUUGCAUCAUCACCCGGACUUCUCACCCAAAUAAUCGGUGA